rnacentral:rRNA from 1 species
CACGUAGGGAGCAAGCGUUGUCCGGAUUUAUUGGGCGUAAAGAGCUCGUAGGCUGUUCGAUAAGUCGGGUGUGAAACCUCCAGGCUCAACCUGGAGACGCCACCCGAUACUGUCAUGACUAGAGUCCGGUAGGGGAGCGUGGAAUUCCUGGUGUAGCGGUGAAAUGCGCAGAUAUCAGGAGGAACACCAGCGGCGAAGGCGGUUCUCUGGGCAUUACCUGACGCUGAGGAGCGAAAGUGUGGGGAGCGAACAGG